rnacentral:rRNA from 1 species
ACAACGGAUCUCUUGGUUCCCGCAUCGAUGAAGAACGCAGCGAAAUGCGAAAAUUAAUGUGAAUUGCAGAAUUCCGUGAAUCAUUCGAGUCUUUGAACGCACAUUGCGCCCUCUGGUAUU